rnacentral:rRNA from 1 species
CACGCCCUAAACGAUGUCGACUAGUUGUUCGGGAAGGUGACUUCUUGAGUAACGUAGCUAACGCGUGAAGUCGACCGCCUGGGGAGUACGGCCGCAAGGUUAAAACUCAAAGGAAUUGACGGGGACCCGCACAAGCGGUGGAUGAUGUGGUUUAAUUCGAUGCAACGCGAAAAACCUUACCCACCUUUGACAUGGUCGGAACCCUUUAGAGAUAGAGGGGUGCUCGAAAGAGAGCCGAUACACAGGUGC